GUCUUUAAGUGCAAGCGAUGGGAAUUGCUAACCUUGGCUAAGAAAAUUUCAUUUCCUCCAUCAUGCUAAAUGGCUCUGGUCGACAUAUGUUUGUUAUCAGAGAGAGGUGCUAUGAACACAGAGCCAUUUUCUUAGCAGCUCUUUGACUCUGUGUUACCAUAGUCCCACACGGCAUUGGUCCUUUCCCGUUGGGAAGUCAUGAAUAAGAGACUAUGAAGCUUGCACGUCAGAUCUUCCUCAAUUAAUCCACCAUUAGCAUGUUUGGGAUCCUCUACUGGAUGGUUAACAGCAGCUUUGGUAACUGUAUGCUGUCCAUACCCAAUUAUGCUCUGCUAAAAAUGAACUCUGCAGAACAACCUUCCUGAGCUGUCAGUGUCUCCCGUUUUCCUAUUUUAACGCUUGUGUGUAGUGGCAGGCGACAGAUGGUGUAGAUCAGAUCGAUUUGAUUGCAUUAGGCGAUUUUUUUUUUCCUCCUCUCCCCCCCGACUCCUUUUCUGGAAGCCCACAUUCAUCUGAGAGGCGAUCGCCGGGGACAUGGGAAGCAAGAGCAGCCGCCGAUGUGUGAAAGCAACGAGACAUGGCCAGCCAGAGGCGCCGGGUCCCUUCCCGGGGUUUGUUAACAUGGUAAUCCGGCACCAGGAGAGAAAGCUGUUUGCUGCUGCCCACAGCCCGUUCCCCAUCACACAUCAGAUGACUCCCUGGUUUUACACACAGUUGGAGUUCUGCUCGAAGCCUGGAUUUAAAGGGAAUCUGUUGCUGCGUGUGUCAUCUCUUGCAAGCUCCCAGAGAGAACUGAUGGAGCACACGGGCAGGGAAUAGGAUGCCAGAGAAGCACAGAGGGAGAAACCAGGCGGUCACCAGGAUGGGAAGGUUCAGCGUCCAUUGGAUAUGGGACAAGAUCACUCGGCAACCCUUGUGGAUUCUCCUUCUUCUAGAGGGGAAUUAUAGUUAUGGAUUUAUUGUCCCGGUGCAGCACUUCCACCACCACCACCAGCAACAGCAGCAGCUUUCUGACUCUCUUCGGUGACGGGUAUUCUUGGGUGGAUAAUACGGAUUACGUUGUUAUUGCUUAAGAAUACGCGUAGUCGAGGAGAGUACCGGCGGCGGGCAGGCAGGCAGGCAGCGCGACCGCCCCCAGCCCACCAGCUGGCUCCUAACCUCCUCUAGUUGCCAAGCCUAAGUCUCCCGGACUAGUCCAUCUUCCUUCCUCACCAUGCCAAAUGACCCAUGGAAAGCCAUAGAUCUUCAGUGUGUGGGGACAACCGAACGUCAGCAACUUCUGGGAACGCUGCUACAAGGUGAGCCUCGCACCCUGCCUAUGCUCUGUGCUCCCAGAUGUUUGGCCCCGUGAUGGCAGAAGAAGAAACAUCUGGAGUUCUGCUGCUCCCACGGGACCCCCAGCUACCAGGCCCCGACCCACUGCGACUGCUUCUGGCAUCUUCUGGUGAAGAUGCUGCUGAGGCUGGCUUUGCCCUGCUUGCUGCUGUCUGCUUGUCUUAUUCUUCUGAGUUAUGCCCCAGCCCACUCCUGUCGUGUUGUGCAUCUGCCUCUGGGCUGUGUUGAGUUUUCAAUUA